GGUAGUGUGCUUGAUAAAAAGAUCGCUUUGAUAGAGCGGAAUAUGGGAGAUACCUCCUCACUAUUG
rnacentral:tRNA from 1 species